rnacentral:rRNA from 1 species
AAACAUCCCUUUUCGCAAGAACUGCUGCGGAGGUGCUGCAUGGCUGUCGUCAGCUCGUGUCGUGAGAUGUUGGGUUAAGUCCCGCAACGAGCGCAACCCUUAUCGUUUUGUUGCUACCGGAUAAUGCCGAGCACUCGAACGAAACCGCCUCAGAUAAUGGGGAGGAAGGUGGGGAUGACGUCAAGUCCUCAUGGCCUUUAUGUCCAGGGCUACACACGUGCUACAAUGCCCGGUACAAACCGUCGCAAACCCGUGAGGGGGAGCUAAUCGGAAAAAGCCGGGCUCAGUUCGGAUUGAAGUCUGCAACUCGACUUCAUGAAGCUGGAAUCGCUAGUAAUCGCGGAUCAGCACGCCGCGGUGAAUACGUUCCCGGGCCUUGUACACACCGCCCGUCACAUCACGAGAGUGAGUUGUACUAGAAGUCGCCGCGCCGACCGCAAGGAGGCAAGCGCCCAAGGUAUGACUCAUGAUUGGGGUGAAGUCGUAACAAGGUAAC